rnacentral:tRNA from 1 species
GGUUGUAGCCUAGCGGUAGAGUGCUUGCCUAGCAUGCAUGAGGCACUGGGUUCGAUUCUCAGAACCA